rnacentral:rRNA from 1 species
AGAGUUUGAUCCUGGCUCAGAACGAACGCUGGCGGCAGGCCUAACACAUGCAAGUCGAACGCUCCUAAUUUUUCGGAAGGAUGGAGAGUGGCAGACGGGUGAGUAACGCGUGGGAACCUACCUAGUGGUACGGAACAACACAGAGAAAUUUGUGCUAAUACCGAAUAAGCCCUUUUAUUAGGGGAAAGAUUUAUCGCCAUUGGAUGGGCCCGCGUUUGAUUAGCUAGUUGGUGAGGUAAUGGCUCACCAAGGCGACGAUCAAUAGCUGGUCUGAGAGGAUGGUCAGCCACACUGGGACUGAGACACGGCCCAGACUCCUACGGGAGGCAGCAGUGGGGAAUAUUGGGCAAUGGGCGCAAGCCUGAUCCAGCCAUGCCGCGUGAGUGAUGAAGGCCCUAGGGUUGUAAAGCUCUUUCAACGGUGAAGAUAAUGACGGUAACCGUAGAAGAAGCCCCGGCUAACUUCGUGCCAGCAGCCGCGGUAAUACGGAGGGCGCGAGCGUUGUUCGGAAUCAUUGGGCGUAAAGCGUACGUAGGCGGCUUGUUAAGUCGGAUGUGAAAGCCCCGGGCUCAACCUGGGAACUGCAUUCGAUACUGGCAAGCUAGAGUAUAGUAGAGGCAAGUGGAAUUCCGGGUGUAGCGGUGAAAUGCGUAGAUAUCCGGAGGAACAUCAGUGGCGAAGGCGACUUGCUGGACUAAUACUGACGCUGAGGAGCGAAAGCGUGGGGAGCAAACGGGAUUAGAUACCCCGGUAGUCCACGCCGUAAACGAUGUCAACUAGCCGUUGGGGGGCUUAGUCCCUUUAGUGGCGCAGCUAACGCAUUAAGUUGACCGCCUGGGAGUACGUCGCAAGACUAAACUCCAAAGGAAUUGACGGGGCCCGCACAAGCGGU